GACGAACGCUGGCGGUGUGCUUCACACAUGCAAGUCGAACGAGGUAGCAAUACCUAGUGGCGGACGGGUGAGUAACGCGUGGGAAUCUGCCUUUAGAUGGGGAUAACGGGUCGAAAGACUCGCUAAUACCGCAUAUGACGAAAGUUGAAAGGAGUAAUCCGUCUAAAGAUGAGCCCGCGUCCGAUUAGCUAGUUGGUAGAGUAAAAGCCUACCAAGGCGACGAUCGGUAGCUGGUCUGAGAGGAUGAUCAGCCACAAUGGGAACUAGAGACACGGCCCAUACUCCUACGGAGGCAGCAGUGGGGAAUUUUACGCAAUGGGCGAAAGCCUGACGUAGCGACACCGCGUGAGCGAAGAAGCCC
rnacentral:rRNA from 1 species